AGCUCAUAAAAUUUAAACCCAUACAUAGCAGAUAAUGGUUGCAUUCCUUUUUGUUUAAUUUGGCUUGAGUCAGUAUGAUAAUACUUAAUUGCUUGACUAUUAAAUUCUUUGUUAGGAAAUGAGACAAUUUUUGUCAUGGGAAUAGAAGUGAAACACCUAGUUGUGAAUGGCGGAUAUUGCUGAAAUCCAUUAGGGGUGCCAGCAUUAUGAUGAUACUUCGGUCUAAUUUCAGCGCCCUUCAUUCCUGUGUUGAACAACACAGAAACAAGGAGUGGGGGCCUCACUGGUUCUCCCACACCUGGCACUGAACACACUUCCCUUGACAUUUGCAAGUAUAUCACAUGGGAGCGUUCUGGCUGACCACACAGUGUUGAAGAUUCUGGGGCAAUCUUCACAUACACAGGUGUGUGCCUUCAUAUGUGUGAAGGCACAUACCUCCCGCUCCCCAUUACAGACAUUAGCAAGUGUGCAACAUAAGGGGUUGGGCUGUUUGGUACAGCCCUGCUCCUUGCUUAGGUGUUACUCAACACAGGAACAAAGAACACCCAGAAAGGGUUCCUUUGGUUUGGACCCUCAAGGCCAGACUACUAUAAAGGUCUGCCAUGGAAUGCAGUUGCAUUGAGGUUUUUAGGGAGGUUAGAUGGAGCAGUACUGCCAGUUGCUUUGCUGUGACAGCAAGUAAUGUUUGGACAAUUUCUUAUUAUAUUCUCUAUCAGGCGUUCAGCAAUAUCUAUGGCAAUAAUGUUUUCUUACAUUUCUUUUCAUUAAGGGAGCAACUGAGAGAAUACUAAGAACUGCUCAAGCAGAGAGAGAAAAUAGAGGAGAUGGAAGAGCAGAGAAAUGAUGAAGAAAACAGAAUUCAAAACGGUAAAUAAAUUUAUAUUAUAUUGCCCUUUGAAACUCUCAUACCCACUACAGCCAGUGUAAUCCACCAUUGCCAGCCAGAGGGUUUAAACAUUCUCAGUGUCCAUGUGAAGAAACACAUAUAUAGUGAAUUGAAAGCAUACAUUAAUGUACAGAACAAUUUUUUUAUUCCUUCCAAAUACUGAUAUGUGAUUCUAGGUGAGAUUAGAAUCUGUACCAGGACACAUUCCUGGCCUACCUGCUCCUGGGAUUAAAUACAUCCUGUUACUGCAGUUAGAAAGCAGCUCUGGAAAAACACACACGAUACUGGCAUUCAUGACUUCUGAAACACAAAACAGCUCAGACACAGAGGAAAUGGGAUACUCAGUCUUCCGCUCUUUCAGUGUCAGGGAAAAUGUAAGUUAAAUAUUACAAAUCUUUUUUGACAGAAUAAUCCUUUUAAAAGAACUUCUUUUCUUUCUUUUUUGGGUGAAGUUGUCCGAGUUGCAUUAUUUUUUAACAGGAGAUACUAGUUUUUGGAACAUUUCAGAUAAACAUAUGGAUGGAAAACAGUUAUUCGUUGUUCUUCACUUGGUAGUCAGCUGUGCUUACCUCUAAUAGUUUAAUGUAGGAUCAUUUUCAUGCUGUGCAGAGUGCUCUAGAGGAUUCCAAAGGAAAGGAAAUUCAGCCAGUAAGUUAAUAAGGCAACCUGUAUUUUAGAUCUUUAAUGGAGCACACUAGCAGCGGUGAGAGGAGAUAUGAUAGUCAUCUUCAAAUAUUGAAAGGGCUGUCACAUGGAAGAUGGCGCAAGCAUGUUUUCUCCUGCCUCAGAGGGUAGGACCUGAACUAGUGGAUUCAAGUUACAAGAAAGGAGAUUCCAACUCAACAUCGGAAAAAACUUUCUGACAGUAAGAGCUGUUUGACAGUGGAAUGGAGUCCCUCGGAAGGUGGUGGACUCUCCUUCACUGGAGAUUUUUAAGCAGAGGUUGGAUGGCCAUCUGUCAUGGAUGCUUUAGUUGAGAUUCCUGCAUUGCAGGGGGUUGGACUAAAUGAUCCUCAGGGUCCCUUCCAACUCUACAAUUCUAUGAUUCUAAAAGAGCAGGAGACCUUAGUGUAUGUGAAAUAAUCUGCUCUGUUGUUUCUAAAAGACAGUUUCCUUCCCAGACUCUUUGUGUGGCUGUUCCAUUGGGCUUCUUGCCUUUUCCAAAGAACACCAACGCUUUGGCUGUGUACACAUUACCAUAUACUUUUGUUCCAGCGUGUUUCCAUUACUGCUGUCUGAAGUCGUGUACAUGUGACAACAGCUACAAUCCAUAUCCACCCUAGUUUCUUGAGAAGUACUGGACUGAGAGACAUGAAAGUAAGGUUGGCGAGUUUGUGGUUAGAAAUACUCCUGUUUGAUUCAUUUCCCCUCAGACCAAUUUCCAUCUGAUUUGAAAACAUAAGUUCAAUUUGCAGUUGAGGUGAGGUGUGUACAUUUGAGACAGCUGUUGCACACAUCUAGAUGGCAGCAUGUGCACAGAUGGCAGCUUCAUGUAUAGGAGUGGGGUAUGCAGCCAUAAGGAAACCAAACAUAUAAUACACAUCAGGUGAUGACAUCCACACUCCGUCUCCUGUAUGCACCUCAACAUGCAAAUGCAACUUGAAAUUCAUUGAGGGGAAGCAACCUCACUGUGUUUUGAAGCUGCUAAUGUGUACAUAGCUUUAGAAGCUUAAUCUUGUCUCCUCCUCAGGUUCUUGUACACUUCCUUCCAAAACAAGGUUUCACUCCAGAGUAUCCAAAAAGCUCACCUUAUUCUUUGUCCUACAAUAUCUUGGGUUCCUCUUCAUACAAGCUAAUGUACUAAUACCUUGAUUUUUAAAGUACACAGCUUCCAAGUAUGUAGAAAUGUUGUUGCAGCUAAACCUUCUAUAUUCUUUAACUUUUUUUGUUUUGUUAAAAAAGCCACAUUAUGCUUUUCAGGUCCAUUUCUCCCAGCCCUAGAAGUCCAUGCAAGCUUCCUUGAAUAAAUCAAGUUGAUGUUUCUUGAACGUAAGGUAGCGCAGCACAGGGCAAAGCAGAGGGUGGGACUGUUGGCUUAUGUUUAAGGACAUGAUUAAUUUACUCAACUUUUGCAUGCUUGUUAAUGCAGAAAUUAGUAUUUUAUGAGGAAAGAGAUCUCCCCUUUAAAUAAUGCAACCUUUAUUAACUUCAUAUUUUAUACACACACAUCUUUCAUUGCUGACAGAAUCUGGAAAAGUUCUUGCGGAGAAUAAAUUCUCCUAUAAAAUGUUUUAGUGGGCCCCUUCGGGUAGGAUGUUGUGAGGCAGACUGAUUGCUUAAGCCCCAGAAACAGUAGUCAUCGUUGUGUAAGUUGGUGACCCUGGGAAAAAGAAUAAGGGAGCGGAGGCCAUUGGUGUGUUUUUUUUACGUUGGUGUGGCUGCUCGUAGGCCGUUUGAUCUGUGCUUAGACGAGACAGUCCUCCAAUUUAGGUUCUGUCCUGCAGGGAUGACAAAGAUAUUUUUGGAACACUAGGUCAUUAUAUAACUGACCCAGACAUUAUCUGAACCUAGCUUGUCCAAAGGUAGACAAAGGCGAGGUGCCCAAAGCCAACUAAAUGGCCCUGGAAAGCUGCUUAAAUGUGCCUUAUCUCAGACAUGGUAAUUGGCUUUCUACUGGUGGCGAGUACAGUUCUGUUAAAGGCGGGCCUGAGGGAACCACUCUUUUUUGGACUGUAGUUUAUUAUUAGGUGAGGAAAUUACUGGACACCUCCAGCUGUCAUUAAUCAGCCACGGAGCCUGACUGGAGCCAAGCAAGAGGCCUGUGGGUGUAUUCCGCUGCAUGGUAGGGAAAUACAACGAGACAGAGACAAAUGCUUUUCAGCCUAGCAGCACUAAACUCUGCCCUUUCACAGACCUUAACAUGCAUGUUCAAAUUGAUUUAGUCUGUUUACCCCCUCAGCUUUGGCAUCCAUUUCCCUUUAAGACUGACAGCUUUAUGUGUCACUACCAUGUUAUUAUGUGUUACCGUUCUACCAGUAGCUAUAGCGUUUCGGACAAGUGUAAGGAAAAUAUAUUUACUUCCAGACACAGAGGAGGACUUGGUAGUUCUGACAGUGCAGCUAGGAAAGCAGAGUCAAUUAAUUACUUUAAAAAGAAAAAAAUGCAUGUGUUUCCUCCUUUUAUUUUCUACUUUCUCCUCACUUUUCUAGCCCAUUCCAAUUCAUGUUAAAGAAAAAAAAGAGAGAGAGAGAGAGAGGUCGGGGGAAGCCUUAAAUAAACUUACGUGAUUGAGAAACACAUCUGUCAGGUGAUGUAAGUGUCUGGCUUAUAAUUCUUCCUCUCUGGUUUACAAACAAGAAAUUUCUUCAUGGCUGUGGAAUGCCGACUUAAAGUCUGCUAUAGGUGUGUGCCUCUCAAGCAAAAAAUGAACACAAGUAGCAAAUCACAGGGUUGACUUGGCUUGUAAACACCUUUUAACUGUAUUUUCUCUUCUCUGCUGUAGGGACAGAAUAUACAUGGAAUGUGAAUGGAAACUGAAUGUGGCUAUUUAAACACGAUCUACCUAACGAAACAUGAGCCAAACAGCCCUCUCUGUUUUCCCACUGCCAGUUAGGUGAGUCCUGUUCUCCUUUGCAGGUGUUCUCUUUGCCUUUGGGUAGCAGCCCUUCAAAAGUGACAGGUUCUGUGAAAUUACUACAGUUACAAACCCCUCCAACCACUGAUUUGAUCUGUGGUUGGGUCGUCAGCAGGAUGAGAAACUGAGGAAACUGUGAGUAGUUUCACAUGAAGAGCUACAAUAUCUAAAGUCACAGAAGGGCAACUAUGAGAGUGUGUUGACAUACCAUACAGUGAGAUUGUGGCUCACCUCACAGGAGCACAUAGUUAACAACUUGACAACAACUGCACACUGAAAUACCAUUGCCCCUGAAACCCUCACUGUCAGGAUUCUUCAUUCCUGACCUGUGCUGCCUUAUACUACCAUUUAUGUCUAGUGUGAAAUUUCUCUAGGCUGUAGAGGUGCCUUGGAAUGAAAGGUAUACAUUAAAUGUACCACUACUAUUUUUAUUUAUUCAGCUCUUCUGGGUGUAUUGACUUCUCCAUGUUUUUAUGAGUUGCCUGAGGCAGCUUUUGCUAAAGGUGUUGAUAAAACCUUUUCAGGUGAAAUGGUGGACAGCUGGACCAUAUGUCCCCCCCCCAAUUUUCCCCCAGCUAAAGAUUGUUAAAUAAUAACUUGAGGGUAUUUUCUCCUAAUGAGCAAUAACCAUAUCCUAGGCAAAAUAAACUACAGGCCACAGGCCUAGGUGUUUAUUAGCCAAGGAUAUGGUCAGUAACUUAUUUUGCUAGAAGCAUCCUCUAGCUCUUAUUUAAGGCUGAUGCAAAGGUUACUUGGGCUGAAAUGAAGUGAGUAGGAUGAAGAAACUGUGUUUGUGUUUAUUUUACUGAAUGUACCUGCAUGGCAGGCAAGGCCUGAAGCGCUGAAUAUAACAAGGAUCAGAAUCUUGAAAUUAACAGCCUGCUUUACUCAAGUUAUAAAAGCAAAUUAAUUAAAUAUUUUCAUGGCUGCUAGGAAAGCACUCAACGGUUUAGUCCCAUAGAGAGAAAUGAGAUUGUGUAGAAAUAGUCACAAUGAGGCAACAGUGUCAAUUCAGGGUUAUUAUGGGUUAUAGCAACAGCCUUAUACUGAGUCAAAUCAUUGGUUCAUCAGCAUUAUUUUAACAGAUAAAAAUACCGUACGCUCUUCAAGGUUUUAGACAGCGGUGCCUGGAGAUGCUAGGCAUUGAACUCACCGGCUACAACCCUUCUCUUGUGUUUCUUGUUAUGGAAUGAUUCCCAGAGUCUUUAUACAGGGAGCAAGUGUUUUAUUUUCAAAAAGAGAGGUGCUGGGGCUCUAAGGCAGGAGUUGCCAAUGUUUCUGGACCACUGGGUACAUUUGUAAUCCUCAGAAAGUGUUGUGAACACCAGUCACAAAAUGAGUGCUCUCUGUGUGUGAGUGGGAGAUUAAUAUUACACAAAAUGACUGUUGUGGGGGCAUAACACAAAAAAAGGCUGUCACAUCUAGAAGAGCAGAAAAAGAGGCAGGACCACAAAAAUGUGUAGGCAAAUCUCAUAUCAGCCCCCAAACAUCUAUGGGAAUAAAAAGGCACUUUUUUCAUUCACAAUGAGAAGCAGUUUGCACAUCUCCUUUGUUCAGAAUGGGUCAGUGUCCAAUUGUAGUAUCCAAUGAAAUGUGGCCCUGGCUUAUGGGGCAUGUUCAGUGUACAAGCUGAGCUCAGUGCAAACCAGAACUGAGCAGGUAGAUCAAACUUAGUGGGCAAGGCCAUAAAUAGAUAUAAUGAAGAUAGGAGUUAAUGAGAAGGUUGAAUGAGGGUCUGCAUUAUCAUUUGCAGUUCUUGAUGUCAGUAAUAAGGGACUGGAAAAGGGUUGUCAGUUGUCUUGGUAACAAAAUUAAAAAGAUGCAAUAUUAUUUUGUUUUACAACUGUUUAUAGUUUAGUUUAGUUUUGCAUUGUAAUUCUAAUUGGCUAUCAUUUUUGAAACAAUUUACACUGAUAUAGACACAAGCUGAAUGAGCCAAAAAGAUUUAGGCAAAUUGAGUUCUUAUAGAAUCUUGAUGCUUAGCAGGAAUAGCCUUAUUUGAAAAGCUAGUAGAUAAUGAGGUCCAAACUACAGCACACCAUUGUUACUAAAGCAUAAUAAGACUAGUGUAAAAUCUCCCAACAUGUGUGUCUGUGUUGCACAUAAAAUUCCUGGACAUGGAAAUGUCAAGAAAUCAGUUUCUUAAACUAAGACAUUGCCGUUGAAAAUUGAUAUGGGCAUAGUCUUAGCAAAGCAUUUUCAUAGGUUAUUAGUUCCAGUGAGUUUGACCAUCUAUCAAAUGAAUGUACCUGAUACAAAUAUAUAUGGCAUUGACUAAUUGGCAUGCUGACAGUUGGCCUAAGUUAGAUAUAUGAUGUUGUGCCGCUGAGGUUGGUAGAAAAACAAAAAUACAAAAAGGUAGCUAUGCUAUGCCUACAAUUAGCAGUGUAAACAUCUUAAUAGGCAUCGAGGACACAAACAGAUGUUCUAAUAGCGUGUCUGUGAGAAACUGAUCUGUACUACUUCCACUCUAGCUUGACCUCUCAAAGUUUCAGUCCCACUGGGAAUUUCAGUGAUUUAUUAAUUUGGGCACAAUGAAUACCAUAGAGACAAGCAGUCGUUUUUAAGGAGUGCGGAAACAGUGUGUGUUUGUGUGUCAUUUCAUAGGCGUUUUUCUCCCUGAGAAGCACCCUUUUGUAUUUUUUGCACCCUUUUGUAUGGGUGCAAAGGCAGAACAAUAUUCACAAGGAUGUAGGUGUUCAGAGAAGAGCAAAUGUUUCCCCAUUGCUAAGGUGACAAACAGGUCAAUGGUUCCAAUUUGAAUUUGACAAUCUGGUUUAGAAUGUGGAUGGAGAUAUGCGAUGUACAGCUGAAUACAUUACCUUGCCCCAACUGCUCAUGUGUAACUAACUAUACACAACCAUAACUGGAUCAGAGUGAAAAUUUCAUUGUAGAGUGGUGGCAGGAAAUUAAGUCGGUAGUGCAGUAUUUUAAGUCAUUGCUUGGGCAAUUGACAAUUAAUUCUUUUUUCCCUAUUCAGAAUGAAGGCAGUGGUAAUCCCUUAUUCACCCUCAGAUGCAUUGUAAAAAAAUUGAUGAAAACCCUCAAAGAUAGAGGGAUUUUGCAGAGGAAUUUUUGUGUCUCUCAACUGCAUACUUUUUGCAUAAAAUCUCAAAUAUCUUUAUAAUUCUGCACAACUCUGGUUGCAAUAGGGGAAGUGGAGCCCAGACCAGUAUGCAAUUAAUCUGUGAUAAAACAGAAUCUAAUCUCAAAAUUAAUCAAAAUGGAUUGCUGCAGCAUCAUUCUACUACAUUCCUAGAGCAAGGGGAGGAAAGAUUGAUUAUUCAGAGGAUGUGGGAAUACUGGGAAACAAAGAGUGAGACAAAGAGUGAGAGAGCGAGAAAGAGCCAUAGUUGGGCAUAGUUUGGCCAUAGAGAGCCAGUGUGGUGUAGUGGUUAAGAGCGGUAGUCUCGUAAUCUGGGGAACCGGGUUCGCGUCUCCGCUCCUCCACAUGCAGCUGCUGGGUGACCUUGGGCCAGUCACACUUCUCUGAAGUCUCUCAGCCCCACUCACCUCACAGAGUGUUUGUUGUGGGGGAAGGGAAAGGAGAAUGUUAGCCGCUUUGAGACUCCUGAAGGGGAGUGAAAGGCGGGAUAUCAAAUCCAAACUCCUCCUCCUCCUCCUCCUCCUCCUCUUCUUCUUCUUCUUCUUCUUCUUCUUCUUCUAGUUUGUGGAAAGCAAGCCUGAAUUUGAGAUUAAGAAAAGUUUAUUUUGGGCCAAAGAAUCCCCUGUAAAUAAUUUUCUUUGUAUUGUUAAUUGGGGGGCAGGGCGGAAAUGCUUUCUGGAAAUUCAUUAUAAUUGCAUAUUUAUUCAAAAGCACUUUUGUAAUGGUAGUCCAUCAAGAAAGUGUUUCAAAACCAAGACCCAAUUUCCAAAGCUAAUGCAUACUUAAUAUUUUCUGAAAGAUGUACCAACAUUUCAGUGAGAAGGGGUUGUUUUGCUGUAUCUUGAAUCCUAAUGUUAAACUUAAUUGUUUCUCCAAAGCUGCUUAAUAAAAUGAUCCUGAUAUGUGCUCUUGUUUUCUUCAACAUGAGAAAGCUGAGUGGUACAAGAUCUUGAUCAGUUACAUGUCAAAUUAUAUGUCCUUUCUCUUUUAUAAGAACUUCUUAAUAUUAUUUGCCUAGAAUAAAUGCAGCCUUGACUUUGCAAACAGUGCUGCAUAUAAUCAGUAUGACUCACAACAGCAAUACUGACAUACUCUAAAAUGAGCAAGUACAUAAAUCAGAAUUGCUAUCUCUGCCCCACUCCACUGCCCCGCUGACAGGAUUUGUGUACAUCUACUAGCCUCUUGGAAGGCACAAAGUCAAUGGAUAGACCCAUCUUCAUUGUUCACUAUGCUGUGAAAGCAGUUUCUUGCCAGGUAUGUAGCUGUUAAAAGCUCAGGAACCCUAUCAAGAGGAAAAGGUGGAUGGACACAGUGGUAGCAGGAGAACACUUUCCGUAUCUUUUCCUGGUGAGCUGAUCAUAAUUCACCUAAAAUUUUUGUAGUCCUCAUUUUGAGAAUGGAAAACUGCAAAGGAGAGGAGGGAAGUGAGGGAUGAAAGAGAUAAUAAUAAUAAUAAUAAUAAUAAUAAUAAUAAUAAUAAUAAUUUAUUAUUUAUACCUCGUCCAUCUGGGCGGCUCCCAAUCAAGUGUUAAAAACUAUACAGAUAAGAGUAGUUAACAAGAGGUUAACCGUCUACAGUAGCUAUUCAGGUCUCACCAUGCUUCUAAUGCCACAGAUCAAUAUGGUAGAGGAAACAAGUUUGUAAAUAUCUGUGAGAAAAACUGUAGUACUGUAGGUCCACUAGCAACUGGGCACUUGUGGCCCAAAGGUUUCAUUUGUUGUUUCAAACAGCACAUCUGGAUGGCAUCAAGGAUCAUUUCCACAUGCAGCCAGAUGUUAUUAUCGCUUGCCAAAAAAAAAAAAAAUCCAUUGGGGUCAAUGGAGGUAAUAGCUUGCAAACGGACCAUAUCUAGGCUAGGAGCCAAGCUGGCAUUCAUUUUAUGAAUGUUUUUGCAAACUUUUUUGUCCUCCAGAAGAGGAUGUGGAAUCAACAACAAUGUGUCAAUCAUUCUAGUUGCUUGCACAUGGAAUAACAGGUUGUAGGACAUACCUGAAAUAGGUAAACUUGGUCGGACUGGGAAGAUUCUUGCUCAUCUCUCCUCUAAACAACACUUGCCAGUUCCAUUUAUUUAUAUUGCCGACUUAAGCAAACGUUCACUGCUCUUCCAUUAGUAGCAAUAGGACUUGAUUUUGACUGGAUUAUGCUCACAAUAUUAGUUGGUGAAACCACGAUCCUUGCGUAUCUGAAACAGAGUGAUGCAUUACAGACUUUAAAACAGGGCUGAGACAUCUGAAGAAGGCAGCAUUCCCUUCUCAUGGGUGGGGCAGAGGUAAAAUAAAUGGAGCAAUAAGUGUAGCUCAAGUUAUACAGACACCCCUUUCUAGUAUCUUAUGAGUCAUGAUCAGGGGUCAAUGACACAUUCCAGGCAGGCAAAAACACUCAAAAGAGGGUGUGAAGCAAGGCUAGUCAGGGGGUCUCCCAAGGAGCCCUCCGGGCCUCAGAUUCCCCACUCCUGCCUUAAAAUAUGUAUGGUGGGUGCCAUGCUAAUAUGUGACAAGGGUGAUAGGCUUAUAUGGUGGCACUUAGGGUCACCUCUGGAAUGAUGCUUCCUUUCUGUUCAUCUGAUAAAUUGGCAAGAAUCCAUGUUGUGCCUUCACAGAGCUGUUAUGAAGGACAUUCUUUUCCAUGGCUGGCUGGACUGCAGCAGGCUUUAGGCUAGAAUUAGAAUGAAUAUUCCAGUAUUUUCACAUACCAGCACUAGUAUGAAAGUAGUGGGGGCAUAACAUGCCUCUACUCCUGUGUUUGCAAAGCAAAAUAAUAGAAAACAACCCUGGUCUGCUGGUAAAAAAUUGAUACGGAAUAUUUGCUUAUGCCAACAAUUUUAAGUUUAUAGCCUGGAAGAGGCACCCAGAUAAUGUUAGCCUUAAUUGCUGUUUUCUUCUGAACAUGGGAGUAGUCCAAAGGCCGUGAAUGGAAAUUAAAGAAAAAUUAAAAACAGAUGGCAGAAAGCACUCUGAGAAACUGAAACACAGGCAGUACUAUGCUCAAUUUAGCAGAAAGAGAGAGGGGUGUCUCUGGAGUUACUAUGUCCCCUUCUCCUUGCAUAAUAUAUCUUCUCAGGCUGAAGUGCACAAUAGACUGUUUCUCUGAAAUGUCCCACACAAUUCAGAUAGCAGCUAUUGGGUCAGAUUGCUUUUAUUUUCAGUCUUGGUUUUGGGAGCCAGAGUGAGAAAAAUCUUGGCUUUAAAUUACUUGAUUUUCCCAAGAAGAAACCCUAUGUGUUUGGCAAAGCUGAGUGGGACAGAGGAGUGGGUCAUACAUAUCGCUUUCAGGGGAAUCUUACAGAGAGGAUUUCUGGAGUUGCCUCACCUGCCAUAGCUCACAAUCCUCUGUGACACUUGCGGAUUAACAGAGGCUGGCCCAGUAGGGCAAAUGGAGCACUGGCCCAUGGCCUUAGUCUGCCCUCAGCCAGCUCCCCAUCUGCAGACAGCCAAUAAGGAGCUGGCUCUGCCUGUCAAUGGCUCUGGCUAGGGAAGUGGAAUAAUUGGAUUCAGUUCGUAUUUAAAGGCGAACCUACCGCUUUGCACUUUGUGAAACAUAACACGAACUGAAACACAGUUCUCCUGCCAAGAAGCGGGUGAAAAAGAGCAUAUGCUAGGGGAAAGUGUGCAUAAAAAUGCACAUGCUAGUGAAAAUAACACAUUGUGGUUUAAGAUCGGGGGGAAAGGAGGUUCCUUUAAGCUGAUGUGUUAGGUGGGAGAAUGUUGUCUGGAUGAGGAAGAGCAGCAGCCUGACAACCACUGUGCCUUUGCUGCGCAUAACUGCAUCUAGAAAAGCCUUUGAUAUGGCUCUGUGGGACAGUGUGAUACUGCUUGAGCGGUUGGUGGUCAGGUGUAGGGAGUGAGGGGUUCAGACUAUGAUCCUAAACACCCAGGUUUUUUGCUUCCAAAUAAAUACGUUUAGUGCUGAGUUAACAAUACCGUUCUUGAAAUACAAACUCUCUCCCACCCCCAUACCUUCUGUCAAGAAGAGCAGUCAUUAGAAAAAAAGUCACAAUUCAGAGAGCAGCCUCAAAGUCAUUAUAUUGUUAGUAAAAUCUGUUGAGUAGGUGGCAAAUCAUGUUUUGUUCAAAAUUUCUGCCUUUCUGUGAGAAUUAGGAACCUGGAGAUGGUGAGCAAGGGGAAGUAAAGGCUGGAAUAAAACUUCAAUUCUUGGAGAUGUUUCAACAAAGAAAUAUUUCUGCUUCUCCCUCACACUCCUCAAAAUCUUAAAAGAAGGGCUAGCCCUGGAAUGUGCUAGUCUAGAUAACAGUAACCUCUGCAUCUACAUUUCAUAAUCUUUUUCUUCCGGUCAACCAGCUGUGAUUCCUCAAACCAGAUAAAACAGAAUCUGGUGAACUUCAGUUUAUGUUCACUCACACCAAUGGAGGCCUUACUUAUUUGGAAUUUGAUGGAGAGCAUUAAUUAUAUGAUUAGAGUUCAAAUAACAUGUUGUAUUUAUGAACAGGAUUACUUCCAUGGGAGGAAGUAAUCUCACCUAAAAGCUGAAUUUUGCCAGAAAAAUAGAUGUAUGAAGGCUUCAGCUCUGCAAAAAUAAUUCUGCUGUACAUCAUCACUCACAGUUCCCAGAUUAAAUUGCUCCAAUGUACCGUCACUGAAAUAUAGUCCAUUGUGGAUAGCACUACUUCUCAUUAAAAGUCUUAGUUAUAUACAGCCCUGUAAUCUAAGACCUGGUACUGACAGGUAAUAACAGACUAGCAGAUACAUAAAGCCAGGAAUUAGGCCUUGCAGUAAGCCCAGAUCCAAUUUCUUUCUCCAUAUCAACUUCUGGUAGCCUAGGGUGCUUUCUGAUUGUUGGGGUGUUGCUCCUCAUGUGCGCAUUUCCGCCAGCAUCCACACGGCAUCAUCAUUAACAUGCUAGCCUAUAUUCUCCCCUCUUUAAUUUGGAUUAAUUGUCCCUGGGGAAUAUCUCAUAAAUUAAGAGAGAGAAAAACAAUGACCCCUAUGCCAAAUCUCAGCAACCCAUUUGCAAUAUUAAGCUCAAAACUGGGAGCACCCACUAUUAUAGCACAGCAAAGCUAUGGAGAUUGUGUUAUUACAGAUUGGUACUGCUCUCAGAGGUCACUGUUCCUAACCAUGCAGGAUCCAUCAAUAAAGUAAAUAACUGGAGGAAGUAGGACUGCACACCACUACCCCACCAUAACAUUGCUCUGCUGGUCCUCCUGCCUGAUGUCUUUACAUUGAGUUGAGUAUGUGAAAACAAGUACCUUCAUGUACAUAAUAAGAUGCCUCAUGCCUAUUCCUAUCAUCCUUAAAGAUAGGUGACUAAAUUCUGAGGAGCACUUUCACAAAGCUGACCACCCCACAUUUUGGUUAACAAUUAUAGUAGCAGUAGUAGUAGCAGUAGUAGUUGUAGUAGCAGUAAUAGUUUGUCAAUGACAUAAACAAUAGCCCUCUUAAACUAUCAAUUAAUGGUUGCCCUUUCUCUUACAUAUGUACUUUUUAGCAAUCCAAAUGAAAGAUCAGGCUAAAUGAUAGUGCUAUUUUCCAGUCAAUUGCCUUUGGUUAAAAGUACAAUAAAGUCAAUUACCCAUUUCCAUGAAAGCUUAUUUUAAAGGAACGGAUAUAUCAUAAUAAUAAAUGACUGCUGGAGAGCUCACAGUUCAAUUAGAUUCAUACUUAAGAAUGCUGUUCGAGAUGAAAUUGUAUUUGCAUUGGAUUUCAUGUAACCUUUUACUUGCAUUACAUUUAUAGUCUAACAUGAACCGGCCAGUGUCUGUAGAAGGCAAUGAUUUUGUACUCAACUAACCACUUACAAGAUAUAUAUGGGCAAGGUGGACAAUAUCUCAUGUCCAAAUCCUUUUUGUGUGUGUGGCAGGUAUGUGCGAGAGUGAAAAUAUGAACUUAUUUAUUUGCCUAUUGAAAUUAUCCUUCCAUAAUCCAAUAUAUCAUGCCCAUAUUAUAUCCAACAGAAAAACCCAAUGAUGUGUUCCCUACAGCUAGCAAUAAUGUGGUUAUUGCUAUGUUAUACAACCUUACUAGUUGUAUUACCUAGUAAUAGGCAGCAAAAAACCAGCAUUGUUCCUGAAUGCCCAGCUUGCAUUUUUAGCCCAAAAUGGAUUUGCCCACCUCUAACUGGUGUGCCAGUCCCUAUCUGGCUUAUGACCACAUGUGCCUUUUUAUAUCCAAAUUGAAAGGCAUUCUCUGUCUGCAAAUGGUGGAGGCAGUGUUGGUCGGGGCAGGGUAUAGUCAGACUAGUUUAAAGGAGACUGUACCCUCUUUGCACGGUGGGGCAGCUGAAUCACUGCAGCUUACUAGGUUUCAUUGCCAUUCUAAGAGAAUGAGGGAGGUGUUCAUGGUUGGUUCUGGCACCUCUUUUUCUAGAAAAAUAGCACCGGACAGGUGCAUAUUUUAUCUGUUAAAGUCCUAAAUGGAAACUAGAGUACACAAAGGACCACUUUAUCCCACAAAAGCCUACUUGGUAAGAUCUCAAUCAAUAGCCUUUCCAGAGCACUUCUACUGACUGAAGUGAGAUUGCAGGUGACAGGGAAAGGGGCCUUUUUAUUGACUGUCCUUUCCCAUCCUUCCACUAGACUGCCUCUCUUUUCUUAUCACUUUUAGAAAGGACCUGGAAAUGUUGCUUUUUCCCUUCUAGUUUUAAUAUGUCUUGAUGCCUUUGCAAUCAUGUAGAACUAUUGCUUUAAACAAUAGAUUGCCCAACCAGUGUCUGCCGUUGCCUCCUAUGGUUGCCUGCAAAGGGUCUCAGUAAACAGCCCCUCAUAAAUCCACAAGAUGGCAUGCCUACACUGUUCUGUCUCUUUUUCUGCUCUUCUAGAUAUGACAGCCAUGUUUUGUUAUGCCAUACGCUAAGGCUGCCAUUUUGUAUUAUACCACAUUCCUAUGGCAGACAUCACAUGUACCCUGGUUACCAUUUUGUGACUGGCACACAUCACACAUCCCCAAAAUUCAAAAUGUGCUCGCAGGCUUAAAAAGAUUGAUGAAGAAACAAGACCUACCAACAGAAACUGUUCUCAGUAAAUUACAAUUUAUCCAGGACUCAGAAGUUAUCUUGGUAGAACCAUUUCAACCUGACCUCAUCUGUUCAACACAGAAUUUUAAAUAGUAUAGAUAUAUCUAAACAUACUUAGAAAAAUGAAUGUCACAGAUCUGAGGACACAGUUUUCAAGCCUGAAAAGGUUUCUGCUUACUGUAGCUUGAAAUAAAUCACUGACAUUUUUGUGUUCUUUUCUUGGGUCUGCCCAAGUCCACACUCUCAGCAAUUCACUACUUCCUGCAACAAUCUUACACCAUACCACUAUGAAACAAAAGCAAAACAAGACUGAACAGCUAUCUUUCCUGGAACUAUAUUGCUAUUGCAGAUGGUGAGUUGAUUUGAGUCUCUGAAUUCCACAGCGUUUUCCAUUACUGUGCUUGGCCACAUAGCCACAUAAUCGUAAGUACAAAAACACUCUCAUCUCAUUUCCCUUGGCUUAAGUACUGCGAUUUGUGCCACUCACUAAAAUGCAGGCACUUCUCCCCCCUUUUAAAUUUGAUAUUUCAAUACCAUCCACCAGCUCUUCUGGCCACUUCAGAAUUUUCCCCAGUCACAGUUCCCACUCUAUGCUCACUUUUAGGCUGGAUUUUUCAGUAUGCUCUGCGAGAUAUAACCAUUUCAUCACACAAAAUGAAAGUGUGAUUCACUGCCAUAUGAAUACAAGAGCAAUACGUAAGCUUUGUGCUCAAGAUACAUGCAAGUUACACAUUCAUAUCAUGCCAAAGCCUUAUUAAAAUUGUUAGUAUUUGACUAAAUAGUAAAUAGCACCCUUGAUUCAACAUGAAUAGUAUCCAAGCAAAUUCACACCAUUUACUUCAUUAUUUUAUUAGUUUUCUAUGCCAGCCUUCGUCCGAGGAUCACAGGGCGGUUUACAAUAUAAACACACAAAAAUACACAACAUAGUAACAAACAAUGUCCUCAGUAUAUUAUUUUAUUUAUUAAGAACUGUGGUGAGCUUGGGGGUGUGGCUUAGCGAGUGGACCUAGGUGAAGCCUACACACACACAGGUUUUACUCUGGUCCACUCCCUGGGCAUAAAAGGAAGGCAUGGCCAGGAAAAUCACAAAUGCUUGUCCUGUGUUGAUUGCAAUCUCAUCUGGGGCUUGCGGCCCGUGGUUCCUCUGUACCUUGGGCCCACAACAUUACAAUUAUGGAAUACUAUUUUUAAUGCUUUGUGGUUGUUAAUGCUUUAUUUUUAGUGCUUUUAUACUGUAUGGGAGACUUUGAUUUGACUGAAAAGGGACUGAGAAAGUGAAUAAUAAUAAUAGUAAUAGUAAUAAUAAUAAUAAUACUGAUUGACUAACAGUUUAUAAGGGAUACUCUUUCAAUUAGAAAUUCAUAUUACAUUUAUUAUCCAAUGUCUUGUUUAGCCUAACUAGAACAUAUAAACUACUGUAUUUACUUAAAUGUAAAGCACACCUUUUUUAGCCAAAUUAUGUCAUGAAAGUUAGGGUGCACAUUAGUUUUGAAAAUUGAGGUGUGCAUUAGAUUCAAUGGCGCAUUAGAUCACGUAAAUACAGAAGGUUAUUAAACCUAAUUGCAAUUUAUUUUUGUAUUUAUUGUAUUUUACAUUGUGAUUUGGAUUUUAUGACUGCUUGAGAGUCAACUUCCAUAUUCUGUUUCAAUGAAUUCUGCAGCUCCACCUUGGACCCUGGCCAACCCAGGAAUUGCCAGAAUACCCUGAGCACUGAUCCUCUCCUGAGAUUUUCCAGCCCAUCACUGUCAAGGAGGACAGCCAGCCACAGAGGAAGCAUUCGAGUUCUGGCAGCACUUUUCAGACAUCCAGCUGCAAUAUGCAUCAAACUGCUAUUGAUGCAGUCUGAUGCAGAAGGUUGGAAGAAACAAUUGUUGCUCUAUGGGUCUCAAAGGAUAAGAGCAUGCCUACAAGGCAGCUGACUGCAGUCACAUUUUGACACUGUAGCACAUAAUCAGAUGUACUGAGUAAGUGGUCCUGGAAAAAUCUGGAGCCUUUCCUCUCAGCACGAAAUGUGAGAACUUGGCCAUGCACUGAUUUUGCUUGCAGUUGUCUUCAUCAGAUGUAUGAAUCGGAUGGAGACUAGCUAGGCUGAAAUCCCUUGCAGGCGGUCAUUGUAGACCUACUACAGCAAGUAAAACAUGUUAAGGACCCAUUGCCAUUAGUCCAUAAGUUCUGUUCAACCAACAUCUGAAUGGCUCUUUUCAUCUAAGGCUGCUGACCUAAGUUGAUCACAGCUUUGAAUAUUUCCUAAUACUUUAGCAAACAAUUCACAUGAAAGUGAGUAGGGCUGAAUAGUGCUUAACUUCUCAUUAAACCAAUUUGGGAUUGGGUUCUACAAUGAGAAACUGAUCCUUUCGUGUCAUUGGCCCCGUCUGGUGGAAUAAUCUUGCCAACAGAGAUUCAGCGGGUGCCUUAUGUGCCAACUUUUAAAUGCCUGCUGAAAACUUUUCUAUUCUGCCAGGCCUAUGCAGGCAAUUAAGAGUACAUCAAUCACAAUGGUCUGCUGAUGUCUGCUUUCAAUUUCUUUUUGCUUUUAACUUGUUUUUAACUUUUUAUGAUGUUAUUGUUUGGUUUUAUGUUUUUAUAUUGCAAACUGCUAUGAUAUAUGAUAUCUAUUUAUGAUACAGCAGUAUAUACACAUUUUUUAUAAAUUAAUGACAUAUUUCUUGAUGACAUUUAGCUGGCCGAGGAAAAUAAUUAUAUACAGUGGUACCUUGGUUCUCAAACUUAAUCCAUUCCAGAAGUCUGUUCCAAAACCAAAGCGUUCCAAAACCAAGGCACGCUUUCCCAUAGAAAGUAAUGCAAAAUGGAUCAAUCUGUUCCAGACUUUUAAAAACAACCCCUAAAAGAGCAAUUUAACAUGAAUUUUACUGUCUAACGAGACCAUUGAUCCAUAAAAUGAAAGCAAUAAACAAUGUACAGUGGUACCUCGGGUUAAGAACUUAAUUUGUUCUGGAAGUCUGUUUUUAACUGGAAACUGUUCUUAACCUGAGGUACCACUUUAGCUAAUGGGGCCUCCCGCUGCUGCCGGGCCGCCGCCGCCACGCGAUUUCUGUUCUCCUGAAGUAAAGUUCUUAACCCAAGGUACUAUUUCUGGGUUAGUGGAGUCUGUAACCUGAAGCAUCUGUAACCCAAGGUACCACUGUACUGCAGUCACACACAAUCAAUCAAUCAAUCAAUCAAUCAAUCAAUCAAUCAGUAGCCGAACUGGGUUCCACAGUCACAAAAAAGCCACAAAAACAAAAAGCAAAAUAAAUAGCAAAAACAGACAGAGCUCAGCGUAACACUCAAAAUGCAAGUGUGGCACUCAAAUCGGAAAUGUAACACUCAAAACGGAGCAUGUUCGGCUUCCGAAAAUAGUCUGCAAACUGGAACACUAACUUCCGGGUUUGCAGUGUUUGGGUUCCAAGUUGUUUGAGAACCAAGGUACCACUGUAGUCUGAACUGUAAUCCAUUGAAAUAUAGGAAGGACGCUGACCAUUGAUUUCACUAUCUCAUUAUUGUCUACAAUAGCCAGCAGCAAUUCUCCAUGGUAGCAGACAUGAAGGUUUCUCUAGAUCUACCUGGAGACCUCAGGAAUUGAACUUGGGACCUGUUAUAUGCAAAGCAUGAUCUCUCCCACUGAGCUAUAGCCCUUCAGCAGGAGGAGAACCCAUAAUUGUUUAUGUAGUGGCAAUGGUUUUGUCCUGACUAUAACACCAACACCACCACUUUAUCCUAAUACGAUAGAUGCACAAACACUAUUAUAAUACCUUACAUAUGAUCUAUUUCUGCAUAUUCAAAGUAUUUUCUCAUCUCAAUCAUCCUUACAAGAUGCCCACAUUAUUAUGCCUAAUAUUGCACAUGGUGGGGUGGUGGUGCACUGAGGCUGAAACAAUCAUGGCUUUAAAGGACGCAAUCCUAUAUAUCAGGGAUAGCCAACAUGGUGCCCUCUAGAUGUUGUUGGGUUACAGUUCCCAUCCUCCUUAACCACUGGCCAUUGUGGUUGGAUCCAUUGAGAGUUGGAAUCCAUCAACAUCUGGAGGACACCACAUUGAGCUAACCCUAAUAUAAACACUUCCCAAGAAGUAAGUCCCAUUUAACUCACUGGCGGUUACCUCUGAAUAGACAUGCACAGGGUUGUAUUGUAAGCUAAUCAGUGAAUGUGUGGCUCAGGUAAGAGUUGAACCAAGGAUUCCCUGGCUUCUGUCACCAAGCGUUGGGUCAUCUUUGGUGCAGAAUGCUUUCACCAGACGUGUGAAUUGGCACUGAGCCCCCCCCCCUUAAGAUUAAGACAUAUUAACAAUAAGAUUUGCUGACAGAAAAGUUUUAUAUUAUGCGAAGAUGCCUUACUGAUGUGUAGAAUAUAAACGGUCUUGUAGAUUUACAUGGAUGUUCCUUAUUAUUUUAACAAAGUGUAGAUGAGACAUUAAUGUCAUCUUGAAGAAGUUUCAGCUUUUGAGAUCAAGAGCAGCAGAAAAAGAUUUCCAGUUGUUGGGAAUCUGAGAUUUUAGCAAUUUCUAUUUAUAUAAUAUUUACCACUAGCUGAGGAAAAAGCCCCUUCUCCUGCCAAUAUCAGGGGAAAAUGUCUACAUAAAUUAAGGCCUAGAACUACUUUGGUUUAGAAUUUGUAACAAAUCUUCUGGGAACUUAGAAACCUUGUUGUUUUGUGGCAUUCCUUCCAUCCCCUAAUAUGCUCUAAUGAAUGAUAUUGAAAGAUAAGAAAUGUCUGUUUCUGAAAACAGCUGGCCUGGGUUUGGUUCUUUGGAAGUACAUUAUAAAGUCCUGGUUUAAAACCAAGAAGUUAAUAGGAAUGCUUCCAAAUCAGUUAUAUCCUUCUGAUAUUAAUUAAACUAGUUUAUAUCUAGAAGGAAGGUAAAACUGUAACCAGUACAAAAUUACUUGAUAGCCACUGUUGCAUUUCCAAAUACAAUGUAAGGAUUUAACACCUCAGUUGGCAACAACGUUAGUUUGGUUUUAGCUGAAUUAGCUCUGCUGACUUCAGCAAGGCAAUCCAUUUUAAUCCAAGAACUUUGGUUUAAUUCCAUUGUGGACUAUGCUGGUAGAAUCUGGGACCUCAUCCUAAAUAUAUGUUGCUGCAAGUGAACUCUAAGGCUCCAACUACAUAGAUGUACAUUGGUUCCCUCCCAUUAUGUAAGCACAUAUUUUGGGUCAUGCUUCUCCUGUUCCAAUCCUACAGCAACCCACCCUAACCCUCUGAACAGGCCUUUGGACAUAUCCAGUGGGGCACAGGAGGGUGAGAGGAAAGAGUUGUUUCAUAAGCUGCUUUCCACUCAUGUAACUGUUGGAUUACAACCAAUUCUUUCUUGCAUUUUUAUUUGUUGAAGAAAGCCACACAUAUUGGGUUGGAUCCUAAGAGUUAUGAGCAGACAUUUUUCCUGUGGAAGACAACUUUCCCAUCUUCUCCAUCCUACUGCAGCCCCCUGAAAAGUUGGGACUUUUCCAGAUGACCUAUUUAUUCCACAUUCAUCCUGAUUUGGAGGUUAGAUUAUAUCCAGUCUUCGUUGAGCAAUCAUUCUGAUUUCUUUAUGGGAUGGCUAUAUCACAAUGAACAUUUAUCCUAAAUUAAUUGUGAUUUGCUUGCGGGACAUUUUAUACAUCUUUCCUCUAGUCAUUCACUUAUCACACACCUUUCAGUGCAUUUUCCAUUAAGUUUCCAAACCUCAAGGAGUCCCAUUCUUUUUUUUCUUUCUUCAAGCAGAUUAGAGCAACAGAACCCAUUAAUUGCACAAUCCUAGGCUGUGUACACACCAGAUUUAUAAAGUGUAUUUAAAGUACCUUUCCCCCACCCAAAGAGGGCACUGUAGUUUGUUAAGGGUGUUGGGAACUGGAGCUCUGUGAGGGGCUAAACCAGGCUUCCUCAAACUUGGCCCUCCAGAUGUUUUUGGCCUACAACUCCCAUGAUCCCUAGCUAGCAGGACCAGUGGUCAGGGAUGAUGGGGACUGUAGUCUCAAAACAUCUGGAGGGCCAAGUUUGAGGAAGUCUAGGCUAAACCACAGUUCCCCAAAUUCUUCUUUUUUGAGGGGUGAAAAAAAAUGCUUCAAAUCUAUGUGCUUGAAUCUCUCCCAUGCAAUGCUGACAGUUUUGAGCCAUUCUUAGUGUGGGAUGUGGCUGCAUCUUGAGAAAGGAAUUGAUAUAAAUCAGGGGCACCCCCUCGUAUGCGUAGAGUCUAUUUCCCACUCUCACAAGAGGCCCUUUGGAGUCAACCCAACGACUGCAUAUAUAGCACACACUGAGAAGAUUAGUAUAAUCCAUGACAAAAAGAAAAACACCAGCACUCUUCAGACUAAUUAGACCUCUUAUACAUUACUAUUUUCUGACAGUAGUUAGAACUCCAGCUGUAUGCCACCAGUCGAGUUAACUCCUUUGAGGAGUGUUGACAUGACCAAUAACCGUGGUGGAUAUCAGCAGUCAUUAUAACUACUGCACUGAACGGGAACGUGUCAUAUCGCUGAAAGGGAAUCCCACAAUAUGCAUGUCUAAUAUUAACUCCCUUGAGAAUGAGGUGCAGCAGUAUAUCAAGAGGAAUUAUAGUUCUCUUAAUUGAUUCUUCACAGUGAUAAGAGACAACUAAUAUUUUUUUUUUUAAAAAAAUGCCAUUACUGAUAUUUGGUUCUAUAGGUAGGGCCUGGAGGAGAUGUCCACAUAAGCAGUGUCUGACUAUUGUUGGAUGGGAAGGACUGAUAUGAUUGUUUUCAACUAUUACCAGGAGAACAGGAGGGGCUGUGCCACAAAGAAGCAGCUCUUGUGCUGCAGGAAUAUGUACGAAUGUGGCCUAAAUGAAGGGAAUGAAACUGUGCAUGAAGAAUGCCAAAUCAUGCACUAACAUGACUUCUCAGUGGUGCCUAAAAACUGAUUUAAAGACGCUGUUCUUGCAUGGUUCUUUCUUGGAUUCACACCACUCCAGAAACCUGCAUUGCAAGGGUUGCACUAUAUGACUUUUGGGGUCCCUUCCCACUUUCAGCUCUUUGAUUCUGUGAAACUAAGGAAUUGCUUGCUUCCCCUCCCUUCAAAAUAGUAAUAAUAAUAAUAUUUAUACCCCGCCCAUCUGACUGGGCCUCCCCAGCCACUCUGGGUGGCCUCCAACAAAAUAUUAAAAUACAGCAAUGCAUCAAACAUUAAAAGCCUCCCCAAACAGGGCUGCCUUCAGAUGUCUUCUAAAAGUCUGGUAGUUGUUGUUCUCUUUGACAUCUGGUGGGAUGGCCUUCCACAGGGUGGGUGCCACUACCGAGAAGGCCCUCUGCCUGGUUCCCUGUAACUUGGCUUCUUGCAGUGAGGGAACCGCCAGAAGGCCCUCGGCGCUGGACCUCAGUAUCCGGGUAGAAUGAUGCGGGUGGAACAUUUUGAUCAACCCUAAUCAUCCUCAGUUUGCUCUUUUGUUUUCAUACUGGAGUUCCUGGCCCUUGGUUUCUGCACUGGUUCCUUUCAGCCAACACUCACAUCCUAUCUGCCUAACUGGUUUCUCUUCUCUUUUUACCUUCAUUGUCCACUUCAUGGAUUUACUUUCAAAUGCCUCCAAGGUCUCCCUCCUUUAUAGAUAAACUUCUCUUCUUUCUCCAUAUAGUCUUCCUUGGACCUGUUCCUCUAUGGGAGGGAUGUGGAAGCUGUGGCCCUCUGGAUGUUGGAUUCCAGCUUCCACCUGCCCCACCCAGCAUGACCAAUGGUCAGGGAUGAUGGGAGUUGUAGUCCAACGACAGCUAAAGGGACAUCCCUGUUCUAUGGCUAUCAAGUUUCUUUUUGGUUGAACUACUGUAUUCCAUGCCUAGCUCCCUUUCCCCUUAAGCUUCAUUCAAUUGGAAUGCUCUUCCACCUGACACCCGACUCUCCUUCUCGGUUACUGCACUGUCAAGUAUUUCAAGACACAACUAUUUUCCCUGGCUUUUCUCUGUUAGCAAAGUCACUUAAAUAACACAGAUGGAGUCCAGAGAGAAAAGAAAUACUGAUUACACUUUACUGAGGAAACUGAAUAAAAACAGAGAAAGGAACAGAGAGGUUUCCUCGCUUUUUUACCUCCUGCCCUGUACAUAGCAGGUAGAUAUUCAAUUAAACAUACAGAGCAAAACUCCCUCAGAACUACACAGACAAUAAGAGCACCUGCAACCUCAGUAAACAUGCUACUCAGCUGGGUUGCUGAAGAACAUCUCCCCCUUCCCCCACUUGGCUAGUUGAUGUCAGCACUAACAGAAUUACCCCUUUAAUUCCACAUAGAAUAAUCUCUGCUGUUGUUCUUCAGAAACUUUCAACUAAUGCUGCCUUCCUUUCACUGCAUUGUUCCUCCCUUCCUAAUGUGUCUUGUCUUUACAUGAAAGGGAGGCCUACUUUAUUCUUAACUUUUGUACUUCUAGGUCUUUGAAUAUAAAUAUCAUUUAUAUUUAUGUGUCUCUUUGUUGUCUGUUUUGACUGAUUUGUACUUUGACAAUAAUAAAAGCAAUAUUAAAAAAUAUUAAAAAUAAAAUUUCUAAUAUAUGGAAAAACAGCACAAAGGCACAUUGGCUAAGCAUUAUAUUAAGCUGCAAAGAUAACAUAUGAAAUGCAGUUUCAUUGUAAUGGCAAUUAAAAUCUGCUGAAGAAAUGGUUUUGCAUAAUUUCCAAACGACAAAAGAGGCGGCUGCCUGAAACAGUGGCACAUUCUUCCUGAGCAUGUAGUACGUGUUACAGCAUGACUAUGUGAUUCUAUUGCUCACUCUUUAUUCUGCAAAUAAUUGGUAAUUAUACAUUGUCUGGAGCUAUAAGCACUGUUAAUUCAUCAUUGUCAAAGAGGGAUUUGAAAGAUUGAGCUAUUUGUAAAAUGUAGUUGGCAGCAUUAUAAACUAAUGUCUCAGGAAUCGUCAGGGUGUUUUAUUUAUUUAUUUUAAAGUCCUCAUUUCCUUAGGAAAUGACAGUAUGCAAAGCUGUAACUUUUCUGUUCCCACUGCAGAAUUGCCUUUUAUUGGUGUUUCGGUAAAGUUGCAAUCGCCUACAUGAGUUUCAGUUAAUGUGGUCUGAGGUUGUGGACAAAAUUCUUGUAGUUUCCAGUUCUGUGAGACUUGUUCAACCUGGCUAGUUUUACCAUGCCAGGAGAGUUCAGGAAGAACUUAUUGAAUCCUUUCAAAAGGAGAGAUUUACUAUUUAGGGAUACUUGAUAGAUCACAGGUUCUUGUCAAAUACUGGUCAAACAGGACUUUUCUUCCCCUGUUGUUGGGGUUUUAUGGAGGGUUAGGGGAGGUGCCAGAACUCACCAUGAACCCCUCCCUUGUUCUCUUGGAAUGGCAAUGGCACCCACCUGAGAGAUGCUGGAACUGAGUUCCGGUGAGUUCUGGCUGAAAAAAGCCCUGAUUUCAAUGUUUACACCUGUGUACUUCUGAAGGAUAACUGUUUGCAAAAUGUUGUAGGAUCAAUUGUCCUUUGUUUUAUUUGUUUUCAUUAUUAGUCAAUAAUUCUUACUAUUUCAAUUAUUAUUAUUCAUUGUUAUUAGGUCUAUUAUUACUUAUGAUAAAGUUCCUUUGUCCUAGUUAGCCUCUUGGCUCACAUAAAUAAUGUGAAUAACAUUGAUAACAUUGGAAUGGCUGUUAUAUACUGAAUUUCUUCACAACACUGUAAAGUCCCAAAACCUAGGGCUAGCUGUAUAUUGGUGUGUGUGUGUGUGUGAAAAACUAGAAUUUACUUUAUGUGUGUAUUCUUAUUUUUAAUGUUAAUAACAAAAAUACAGUUUAAGUACAUUCUUAUGUGUGAACUGCAUGUACGUGUAUUUGCAUGUAGGCAAUAUUUACAUAAAUUUUGCACCCUGAAUAACAUUCUUUUGUUAUUAAACAAAGUUAUACCGGUUAAAUUGUGGUCUUGGCUAAACACCAUGGCCAAAUUUUCAUAUCCCACUUGCCAGAAUUGAUUUAUGACUUGCUAGCUAGUUUUCUGAUGAUUUUGGAGGGGGAUGGUUCGCUCAAUUACACAUUCACCCCUCCACUGUUUGCCAUUCAUAGCUGCAUGUGGAAAAUUGAUCCAGAUGCGAAGGAAAGUGAUCCAUCAUGUAGCUAAAGGAUUGCCAAUGAGGAGUAGCACAGAGGAUCCCUCAUUUACCACAAAUAGCUAUGCAUGUUUUGCAAAAUGGAGGUAAUGUUGUCCUAAUACCAGGGAAUAAUGGUGUCCCCCAGUAGCAUUUUUAGCAGUGGUUACUCAGAGUAACAAAGUACCAAUGCUUUUAGCCACAGCAUGAGGCAGCAUACUUCAGUUGUCCUGGCAGCUUCUUCCUUUGUCGGUUAUUAAAGUGAUCCUUUAUGAAUGAAAACAGUGAUAAUAAAAAGGAGAAAAUGUGCAUCAUGCUGUGAACAAUUUCCUGCCGCUCUGACUGAUCUACUUCAAUGGCCCUUGCAGUUGUGGCUAUUUGCUUUGAAAGGCAAGUUAUGAAUGCAGAACUUAUGAGCUCACCAUGGUGACCUUUUCAUGUUCUCUCUGUUAAUGCCCAGAAGCUGAGUGUUUUAUUUUGUAUCUGAAAAAAACUGUAACCUUUGGGUAAUAAUGUAAGGGAAAAUCAGAGUACAGAGAGAAAAUUAGCUGCUUGCUAACUAUAUAGAAUGCCUGUCUUCCACCUUUUCAUCUGAGAAGCAUUCAAAUCAUACUUUUGUGUCAACACAUAAAAUGGUAUUUGGGAAGAAAGCAGUGGGAGUGAACUUCAACCCAGUAAACAGCUUGUUUUAAGCAAAGUUCUUGUUUCUAAGCCUGUCAAGUCCCCCUUAUGAAACAUAUAUACUAUUUCGCGACUUUAGCUCACAAGGCAGUGUGCAUAAAACAUUUAAUGCAACUCACAAAAACAAUUUAAAAACAAGUUUUGGUGUUCUUUUGGUUGCCAACAAACCUGGAUCUAAGAUAAAUUGCUUCACACUUCACCCCUCUAACGAAUAUAGCAACUAUUAUCAAUUAUUAUUAAUCACUUCAUAUCUAUACCACUUUAUAUUUUUAAGAAAAAGUCUCAAAGUGGUUUGCAGCACAUUAAAUAGAACAUUACUGGAGAAAGUCAGAUAUAAAGUAUACUGUCAAGGCAAAACAAUAAACAGGAAAUUAAAAUAUUAUCUUAAAGAUUACAAAAUAAAACAUUACUAAAGGAAGUCAAAUAUAAAAAUGCACUUUUAAAACAGCAACAUUAAAAAGAGAAUGAAAUAGUAUAAUAUGUGCAGAACAUAUCUGCUGCUUUUGCUGCCAGUCCUGCCAAUUGUAGUUCAUAGCUCAGGCUCUAUGACCUAGGUCUGCAUUAAGAGUCAGCCAAGAUAGUCGCUGGCCUCUUCAACAGCCACAGUUUUUGUAGCUGGGGCCACUUCCAGACCAGGUUUUAUUAUUAGUAGUACAGUAUUAGUAUUAGACUUUAUAUACUGCCCUAUAUCCGGAGGUCUCAGGGUGGUUCACAGAACAAAAUCAAUAUAUAAAACCACAAAAUUUAUAAUCAAAAUAAAAACAUCAACCCAAUACCCCCCCUCCCAAAAAAAACCCCACCACAUUUUAAAAGGACAUAGGAUAUAAAAAGGUCUGCAAGGCAGGAAGCAGGUCUUCCAGAACUCACAGCCCAGGUGGUCUGCCAUACCUGGGAAGAUGAUUCACUGAAAUGAACAUGCCCCUCUUUCCCUUUCUUAUACUUCUGAAAACCUUCAAGCUUCCUCAUGCCUGUUGAUGCUACCUUCUUCUUGUGUGUGCCAUUUUGGCUAUGUAAUGAUAGGCACUCAGGCAAUGAGUUUGCCAUUAGUAUGCAUGAUGAUAAUAAUUCCCUGCAUGGUCAGUGGACCUAGCACUAUUGACUUAGAAGCAGUUUACCACCAUCACUUGUGCAGUAUGUUUACUUGGAAGUAAGAGCUAGUGUGCUCAGGACCAUUUCCAUGUUAAGUAUCUAUCGGAAUAUAACUCUCCAUGUUUGUACUACAAAACAUAGAUUUGAUAUUGCCUCCAACCCCUUUCCUAACCUUUGCUGUUUUCUUUUUCGAAAGCUGCUUUCCAAAGACAGAUGUUGCUUAUAAAGCUGAACUCUUAUCAGGCCAUCAGCCAAAUCAGAAAGAGAUAAUCAUUGCAAUUGUCUUCCUCCUUGGAGUGAGCCUCUUGAUUUUUAAAAAGUGAGUUAGUGCAUUCCUAAGAAAACUGUUGGGGAUGAUCAACACAUGUAUGAGAAGUGGGGGGUAAAUAAAAUCAUUUUGAUAUGUGUGA